GACGAACGCUGGCGGCGUGCCUAACACAUGCAAGUCGAACGGAGAUUUCAGCAAUGGAAUCUUAGUGGCGAACGGGUGAGUAACGCGUAGACAACCUACCUUCUAGAUGGGGACAACACUGCGAAAGUGGUGCUAAUACCGAAUGUUGUAUUUUGAACGCCUGUUUAAGAUACUAAAGGUGGCCUCUAUUUAUAAGCUACCACUAGAAGAUGGGUCUGCGUCUGAUUAGCUAGUUGGUGAGGUAAUGGCUCACCAAGGCAACGAUCAGUAGCCGAUCUGAGAGGAUGAACGGCCACACUGGGACUGAGACACGGCCCAGACUCCUACGGGAGGCAGCAGUGGGGAAUCUUCCGCAAUGGACGAAAGUCUGACGGAGCAACGCCGCGUGAGUGAAGAAGGUUUUCGGAUCGUAAAACUCUGUUUUCAGGGACGAAUGUGCAAUAUGUAAAUAAUGUAUUGUAAUGACGGUACCUGACAAGAAAGCCACGGCUAACUACGUGCCAGCAGCCGCCGUAAGAC
rnacentral:rRNA from 1 species